GACGAACGCUGGCGGCGUGCUUAACACAUGCAAGUCGAACGGAAAGGCCCUGCUUUUGUGGGGUGCUCGAGUGGCGAACGGGUGAGUAACACGUGAGUAACCUGCCCUUGACUUUGGGUUAACUUCAGGAAACUGGGGCUAAUACCGGAUAGGAGCUCCUGCUGCAUGGUGGGGGUUGGAAAGUUUCGGCGGUUGGGGAUGGACUCGCGGCUUAUCAGCUUGUUGGUGGGGUAGUGGCUUACCAAGGCUUUGACGGGUAGCCGGCCUGAGAGGGUGACCGGCCACAUUGGGACUAGGAUACGGCCCAGACUCCUACGGGAGGCAGCAGUGGGGAAUAUUGCACAAUGGGCGGAAGCCUGAUGCAGCGACGCCGCGUGCGGGAUGACGGCCUUCGGGUUGUAAACCGCUUUCGCCUGUGACGAAGCGUGAGUGACGGUAAUGGGUAAAGAAGCACCGGCUAACUACGUG
rnacentral:rRNA from 1 species